AUUGAACGCUGGCGGCAUGCUUUACACAUGCAAGUCGAACGGUAACAGGGAGCUUGCUCCGCUGACGAGUGGCGAACGGGUGAGUAAUGCGUCGGAACGUGCCGAGUAGUGGGGGAUAACGCAUCGAAAGGUGUGCUAAUACCGCAUACGUACUGAGGUAGAAAGUGGGGGACCUUCGGGCCGCACGCUAUUCGAGCGGCCGACGUCUGAUUAGCUAGUUGGUGAGGUAAAGGCUCACCAAGGCGACGAUCAGUAGCGGGUCUGAGAGGAUGAUCCGCCACACUGGGACUGAGACACGGCCCAGACUCCUACGGGAGGCAGCAGUGGGGAAUUUUGGACAAUGGGCGCAAGCCUGAUCCAGCCAUGCCGCGUGUCUGAAGAAGGCCUUCGGGUUGUAAAGGACUUUUGUCCGGGAGCAAAUGCCUGGUGUUAAUAGCACUGGGAGCUGAGAGUACCGGAAGAAUAAGCACCGGCUUACUACGUGCCAGCCGCCGCAGUAAUAC
rnacentral:rRNA from 1 species